UGGUAAUCUAAUUGAUGUACAUUCCUUGUCGGUGUACUCAAGUUUUCACUAUCUAAUAACUUCAGGUCACCCUAAUGGCUUUCUUCGCAUAGAAAAAUAUUCGUGGGAAAACAUUUGGUUCUUUGCGAUGGUAAACUUUACAUUUUCUGUUAUGACGUACAGGUCGUAUUGAUUAAUAUUUACUAUUUGGAUAAAUAUUUUUAUGCGUUUAGUUUUCGCAAAGCUUUGACAACCGGGACUGAGCGAAAAUCGAACACUGUCGAAAAUACGUGGCACUGUGGAAGAAAUGCCUCGAUUUUUCCACAUUUUACCGUAUUAAGCGGUUACUUAGAAAAUUUGACCUCGACUCCAAAUCACGUUCCGUGAUGGACUUAAAAUGAAAUACACUGUCUGCACAACUAAUUUGAUCGAGCGACACCUGAACUCGUUCCCAGAGGUUUGGGUUUUACUCCACAUCGCUAUAAGGCUGGUUUUCACCAGGGCACAAGCUUAAAAGUAAUCAACAUACGCAAAUGCAGAAAUGUGCUGUUAAUUAGCAUCUUUUGUUGAGAAAUUGCCCAAACGAAAGGCCCUAAUUAUCGAAAUAUUUCUACCUCUGUAAAUGCCGGCUUAUUCUUACCAUAUGCUUAUGCGCUAGUGAAAACGACGCCUUGCAUUUCUUGAUCCAAAUUCUUUUUUAAUUAACGGAUAAGAUCAUACUGACUGUGUUCAACAUCUUUCCUAAGUUCUGAUGAACGCAGAUCUAAUCUAUACUGUAGAAUAGGAGACUGGGGGGUUUUCUGGUCAGAUGUGACAUUUGAGAGAGGGGUGGUUGGGUGGGUAUUUGAUUUAUUCAGCUCGAGGGUCAAUAAGUUACAAUUACAUCAGAUUUUAAGGGGCGCGGUUGCUUUAUGGUUAGGAUGCUAGACUACCCCACACCCUUCCCCAUCAGGGACAUUGUGUUGUGUUCUUGGACAAGACACUCUAAUCUCGCAGUGCCUCUCUCCACCCAGGUUGUGCGUCAUCGUGAUUUUAAGACGUGUAAAUAUUGUAAAUAUAGGUCAGGUUCCUAUAAGAUAUCACGAUGAUCGUUGAAACCUCGGAUUCCGCUUUUGCGGGCACAGAUGCUGAAAUAAGGAUCAAAGUCUUUGGAACCAAAGGCAACGUACCGGAAAGGAAAAUUUCAGGCAGUUUUAAAAUAGGAAGCGAAGACACAAUUAUCAUCAGAGGCUACGACAUAGGUCACGUGACAGGAAUGGCAAUUAUUCGUAACAAUGCUGGUUUUGGGCCUAAAUGGAGACUUGAAAAGGUAACUAUGGCAACUGGCGAGUUAGCUAUAUACAAUUAGACUCCCAGCGAAAAACAGUUCCUUUGGGUCAAGAGGAAAAACACCCGAGGCUGUUAGACAGUGCCGCGAGAGAAUGAAGCUUAAGAGUAAGAGAGCUUAUCGCUUAUAUAUAGGCCUUGUUCCCAAGAUGAUCCUUCUCAAGUUAUUUUUAGAC